GUUGGGACGUUGGGGUUGAUUAUGUAGUUCUUCCAAUGUUUGGGUGCCAACGCCAUAUUUGGCCCAACAACAUCGUUUUGUGCACACAUUGUGAGGGUGCAGAGGUGCAGAAAUGGCCAUCUAUUCUAUCUAAUAAAAUGCAGUCCAUUCUGUCCCCGCUCUCAAAUUGCCAAUGGGGCUCAUUUUGCAACUGCAUAACAUUUAU
rnacentral:misc_RNA from 1 species